GGGGGAUUUCCCGAGUGGCCAAAGGGGACAGACUGUAAAUCUGCUGGCACUGCCUUCGGUGGUUCGAAUCCACCAUCCCCCACCA
rnacentral:tRNA from 2 species